CCUGGACUGUCACCUGGCGGGACUUCUCGAAUGCCUGGACGAGACAAAACACCCGUCGAAGCAAGACGGCCACAAGCACCACCAAUGAAAGGAAGUGUAGCUGAAUAUGUCAUGAAUGAACGACAAACCUGCCUGAAGCAAGAGUCCCUGGACAAUCUUGUUUUUACGUAAAAACAUGUAAAUACUGAACACCCUAAGCCAUCAUGACUUCAGUUUAUACUGGACUGCGUAGAAUCUGUGACUUGUAUAUGCUUUAUAAUGUCUCGAAGCUUUUCUUACUCUUUUGAUCGAGUGCUAUUAAAAUCUCUAUGUUGA